rnacentral:rRNA from 1 species
GACGAACGCUGGCGGCGUGCCUAAUACAUGCAAGUCGAGCGAAUUACUGGGAGCUUGCUCCCGGUGGUUAGCGGCGGACGGGUGAGUAACACGUGGGCAACCUGCCUGUAAGACUGGGAUAACACCGGGAAACCGGUGCUAAUACCGGAUAAUUCUUUUCUGCACAUGCAGGAAAGCUGAAAGUCGGUUUCGGCUGACACUUACAGAUGGGCCCGCGGCGCAUUAGCUAGUUGGUGAGGUAACGGCUCACCAAGGCGACGAUGCGUAGCCGACCUGAGAGGGUGAUCGGCCACACUGGGACUGAGACACGGCCCAGACUCCUACGGGAGGCAGCAGUAGGGAAUCAUCCACAAUGGACGAAAGUCUGAUGGAGCAACGCCGCGUGAGCGAUGAAGGCCUUCGGGUCGUAAAGCUCUGUUGUUAGGGAAGAACAAGUACCGGAGUAACUGCCGGUACCUUGACGGUACCUGACCAGAAAGCCACGGCUAACUACGUGCCAGCCGCCGCGGUAA